CCGACUCUCUCUCUCUUGGUCUCGUCGACGCCUCCACGUCUCUCUAGCCAUCCUCGACGACUCCGCUUAUCUCUCUUGUUCUCCUCGAUGACUCUGCGUGUCUUUCUCAGUCGUCGAAGCUCUCCGGCCCGUGACUAGCAUCGAGGAAAUCAAAUCGAAAAAGGUAAAGCUAUGUAUUUGUCCUUUUAUGUCUCCGCUCGUGAUUGUACAGAUGAUGAUGUCUCUUGUGUUUGUUUAAGUCCGUGUCUCUGUUUAUUAUGUUGAUUAUGUCUGGUGAUUUUAAGAUCGAUCAUCACUGAUUCUUUUUGUUCUGUCUCUUUGUCUUUGUUUCUUUAGAUGAACGAAUGAAGCUACACGAAGAAACCUGAAGGUUCUUCAACGCAGAGGUCUACAAUUGGCGUACAGUAAUUGGGACACAAGCUACUGAAGGAUGCAACUUCGAAGAGAGCAGUCCUGCACAGCCUAAAGAAAGAAGGAGUUGGGGUCCAACAGAGGACGUCGUGCUCAUCAGCUCGUGGCUGAACACGAGUAAGGAUCCUGUCGUUGGGAAUGAGCAGAGGUCAGUUGCAUUCUGGAAAAGAAUUGCAACUUACUUCAACGCCAGUCCUAAGCUUGUAGGAUGUGAAAAGAGAGAGUCGUCUCAGUGCAAGCAAAGAUGACACAAGAUCAAUGACAUGGUGAGCAAGUUUUGUGGAGCGUUUGAGGCUGCUACCAGGGAGAGAAGUAGUGGGCAAAAUGAGAAUGAUGUUCUCAAACUUGCCCACGAAAUCUUCUUUACCAACCACAAGAAGAAGUUCACCUUAGAGCACGCAUGGAAGGAAUUGCGCAAUGACCAGAAGUGGUCUGAGCUAUCUACUGCCAAAACUGAUGGAAGUUCGAAGAAGAGGAAGGUUGGCGACCCUUCAAAUGUUAUCUUUUUACUAUGUUUUAUUUGAUUAAAAAAAUAAGUUUCAUAAAAAAAAUUUUAAGAACCCUUAAUUAAGAACCUUUGCAAUGGACCUAUUAAAUUUAUGGGUUUCUUAUCCUAAUCUCUUAAUACACUUUUCCUAAUAAAAUGCAUUAAAAAAUUAAGAAGAACCCCUUAUAUGGGGUUUUGCAAUAAUCCUGCUCUUAGAGCCCUGAACUUCAAUAAGUCUCCACCGAAUUUCAAUUUGUCCACUUUCUUUUAAAAGGAAUGAAAGGAAAACAAAAAAAGUUUGAUCAACUUUUUCACUCGCUUACGUCUCUGAUGUACGUAAAGAUGUACGGUAACCUAACAAUUCUGAUCACACAUCUAAGCCAUUUUUGUCCUAACAUUUGUAACGUCAGAUUAAAAAGAAAAGUCCAAGUUUUCAAACAUCUCAAUGUCUAUUAUUUGCAUGUCCAAAAUAUAGAUCGGAGGAUCUUUACAAUUCAAACACACACGUAAGGUAAACACAAAUUCAUUUUAGCAUAUUAUUUAGCAUAUUCUUUCAAAAUUAAACUCCGAUGAAGAUUCCAAUCUCCAUUAAGCAUAUGCCGUGGAUCAACCCUCUAAGUAUUCCUUUCUUGCAGGAGACUCUAAGUUUUGACGUGAUCUUAUGAAUCUUCUGAUUGAGUGGAAAAUACUAUAGUUUUAUUAACAAUUUAAACGUUGUUGUUAUCUCUACUUUUUAUGUUCUUGUUCUUCCAUUCGUGAAAAAAUGUGGACGCAUAAAAUUCCCCUUUCAACUUUUUUUUUUUUUUCCAUCUGAUAGUUAUUAUUAAGGGACUAAGCCCAACAAAAUACAUU